rnacentral:sRNA from 1 species
AGUUUACGAGGCGUCCGAGGCGCGGCGUCGAGAUCUCGACCCGGUCUCCAAUUUC